GAUCUCGCGGUGUAGUGGUUAUCACAUUUGUCUUACAAACAGAAGGUCAGCGGUUCGAGUCCGCCCGAGAUCA
rnacentral:tRNA from 1 species